UUUUUUUUUUUUUUUUUUUUUUUUUGGCUUUUUAGGGCCGCACCCAUGGCUAGGGGUCGAAUUGGAGCUCCAGCUGCCAGCCUACACCACAGCCACAGCAACGUGGGAUCCCAGCUGCGUCUUUGACCUGCACCACAGCUCACGUCAACACCAGAUCCUUAACCCACUAAGCAAGGCCAGGGGUCGAACCCACAUCCUUGUGGUUCCCAGUCGGAUUCUUACUUAUUAUUACUCAGGGUCUCAUGAAGAGAGGGGUAAUGGGGGGGGCCUCGGGGCUGUGGAGAUACUUACAAUCGUGGUUUUUAGAGGACAGGAAAACGUCUGGUCCUUGGAAAGGGACGGUGGUAGGGGGAAGAGACAGAAUCCACAUCCACACUCAAAAACCCAGGAAAGUUAAGGAACUGCAAGAAAAGAAAAAUCUCCAGAGGUCUCCUUUCAGCAUUAAAGUAAUUCACAUCCAAGAUAAUGAGCUUAAAUGCAUGCCUUGGGCUUGCGGUAUCUAAAAGUUGCUCUUUAAAACAGCCCUGGUAACUUUCACUUCCGGAGGGCUGGGAUAACUUUCAGGAACAAUUAGAUGAAGGUGAACUCACAGAAGGUGUGGCUCUUCAGGAGGGGCCAGGACGACGGUUUUCCCGUUAACGAAGCUGACCUCCCACACUGAAGAGCAGGAUGCUUGGCAAUGGAAGAGGAAACAGGACACCCCGCCCUCAACACACACACGCAAUAUGACCUUGUCAAUUCGUAGUGUGCAAGGAAGACCAGAUCAUGAGGUGAGUGAAGCAGGAGGGCUGGGCAGGUAGAAAGCGAUGGGUUUCCUGUUUGAAGGAAGCCCCUGCCAAACCUGGAAGGGGUUAGCAGAGCAAAAGUUAUUUUUAAGACUGGCGAAGUUUGAAUUGGCUUAAAGAGAGUCCUUGACUAGAGGCAGGGAGUGAAACCAGAGAAUAAAUAAUACCUGGACCCACAUGUCAGGAAAAAAUCAGAAGGAAAAAAAGAAAAAGAUCUUCGUUUUCACAGGAUAGGUCUUGAACCAUGAAAUUGGCAACCUUUGCUAUUGGAUAUGCCCAUUACGGAGCCUCAAGGAGAGGCUGGGGGCAGGGGCUCUAGCACUGCCCUCAUGGACCAGGGCUACUCAGACCAGCCUUGGAGGUGAACCACUGAUGUCCUCUCAUUGUGUUGUUGUUGUUGUUGUCUUUUUAGGGCCGCAUCCACAGCACAUGGAGGUUCCCAGGCUAGGGGUUUAGCUGGAGCUGUAGCCAUCAGCCUACGCCACAACCAUAGCAAGGUCACAUCUG
rnacentral:lncRNA from 1 species